UAGCUGACGGAGCGCCAUUUUCAUGGAGGAGAAGAGACUGAAUUUAGAGAAAAAAUCAAAUUAAAGCAUCCAUCCAACAUCACUAUCAACGGUUGUAUCGAUACUAUUGAUACUUGGAUCGAUCCGCGCACCGCGAUCUCCUGAAUCUGACCUGAGAACAGCAUUGUCAGGUCCUGUAGGUGGGCUCAGCUAAAGGCCCCGUGGCAGCUACCAUCUGGACAGCAGCGGCUGUCGUCAGGCUUUGUAGCAGCUACUAUCCUGCAUCGGGACGACCGUCUUCGGAUCUUGCAGCAGCAGAAUGAGUCUCUGGGAGAUCAGUGAGAACAUGAAGCUGGCCCGGGAACACGCCCUGCGAGGAGACUACAGCCAGGCCAGCGUUCUCUAUCAGGUGUUGCUUGACAAAUCAUAUGAUUGAGACCAGUGAACUUGAGCCUCUGUGAGCAUUUGUUCCUCCUCUGCCCUCCAGACACAUUUCUUGUAAACUUUAUAUUGAUAUGAUUAUAGUUUCUUAUAUUGAGACAAUGAUUGUUAAUCUCUCACCGAUAAAUUAAAAAAACUACGCUGAAAAAGUAGCCGGAAAUGCACAGGUGGGAUCAGCCGUGCUGAACAGGCCGAUCGUGUUCCUUAUGUGUAGUUGUAUUUCUCAGGAGCUGCAUGUCAGGUUACGGCGGAGGGUUCAGAGGGCUUUCUGGUUACAGCGUAGAUUUCCUGCUGAAGUCUAAAUUCCCAGUAAGCCUGGUUCUGCCAGAGGUCUUUUCCUGUUAAAAAGUUCUUCUACCCCACCAUCCUCUUCCUGAUGAAUGAAUACAUCUCAGGACUGGUACUU